rnacentral:lncRNA from 1 species
GGAAAGAGCAGAAGGAGAGGGAGAGAGAGAAUCUAAGCAGGUUCCAAGUCCAGUGUGGAGUCAGAUGUGGGGCUCGAUCUUAUAACCCUGAGAUCAUGACCUGAGCCAAAAAUCAAGAGUCGGAUGCUUAAUGGACUGAGCCACCCAGACAUCCCAUAAUUUUCAUUAAUUUAAACUUAAAUAGCCAUUUGUGACUGGGGGAUACCCUAAAAUAAAGUCCUUUUCACCUGCAUCUACCAUUCUAGGAGUCUAUAACUAUACCAGUAAUUUUAAAAAUAAUUUCUUAAGUAACCUCAAAGUUUUAUUAUAUGCAGCUUGAGUUAACAGCCAGUGACACAACGUGAAUUACAGAAGACACAAUGCAACUGCAGGGAUAGACAGCAAAUAUAUUGACUAUGAAUAAGCUGUUUAAUUGGUGUGUGUGUGGUUUCCGACUCUUGUAUGUGUCGUCACACACAGCCUGCUGGUUGGAUCACCAAGUAGAACCUGUGAAAGCAGCACCACUUCUCGGAUGCAUCUUCAGUGGUGCUCACUGCAGGAAUAACAGGUGUGAGACCAUCAUUCUUGGGACUGGGAAAGCCACAAAGGAUAUGAGAGACGGGUUGUAGAUGACCGGUAUCCAUGAAGCAGAGCACAGAUGGAGGAAACGAUGUAUUCAAGGAUGUUCUGUUUCCAAAAGGAAGGAUGGAUGGUGGUAAAUAAUGCCUGGAGUUCGAGAAUUCACCUUCUUUGAGAAGAGCCCAUCAACAAAAAACAAAAGGAGGGAGAAGAAGUAAAAUAAAUACACUAAGAAUAAGUCUCA